rnacentral:rRNA from 1 species
UACGUAGGGUGCGAGCGUUAAUCGGAAUUACUGGGCGUAAAGGGUGCGCAGGCGGCGUCGCAAGUCAGGCGUGAAAUCCCCGGGCUUAACCUGGGAACUGCACUUGAAACUACGAUGCUGGAGUAUGGCAGAGGGAGGUGGAAUUCCACGUGUAGCGGUGAAAUGCGUAGAGAUGCGGAGGAACACCGAUGGCGAAGGCAAUCCCCUGGGCCUGUACUGACGCUCAUGCACGAAAGCGUGGGGAGCAAACAGG